CAGGACAGAGACGGGGCCCCAGCACCGCUGCCCCGGUGCUCCAUCAUUACGCGAAACAGACCAGGAAGCUUUGGAGGAGGGAUGCUCGCUAACCCUGCUCCCGCGAGCUGCCGGCCCUGCUCUGCAGAGCGCCGUGCACAGGUCUGCAUUCUGUGUGCUGCACAGGAGGGCGUGGGGGAGACCUUCGAGAGGACUGUGCUCCAAGCCGGGGCAGAUCAACCAGAAGCUGCUGGAUUCCCCCGGGCUGUGAACACAGCAUGGAGUGGGAGGAGCAAACUCUAAAACGGGUCUCUACAGCAGUCUCGAGAAUCUUCCGAAAUCUCUCUUCAGACUCAUUAGCUGGAAAGUGAUAAAGCUCUAAGCCAUAAGACUGGAAGAUUUGUUACCUCAGAAAACAUUUCAUUUUAAUUCUCCUAUUUUUCAACCCAGGCAAAAGAUCUGGCCGCCAAACAUCCUGAGAACAGGACAGACACUCACCCCUCAGGCAAUAAGGAUUGUCCUAAUGCCAGCAGGACCCCGUGUGAUUGACCCCGAGUCAAUGAUCGACUUGACCUCUACUGUCUAGUUGCGCAUACCAGCCAACCUGUGUCCCACGUUUUCCUGAUACAAACCUGGAAACAUUUUCAGCACGUUGGAGACAGGGUCUACGUCAUUAGUCUGCUGUCUUUCCCUUGCGAACCUCACCGAAAUAAAUUCUUGUCCCACCACCA